AUUGAACGCUGGCGGCAUGCCUUACACAUGCAAGUCGAACGGCAGCACGGGAGCAAUCCUGGUGGCGAGUGGCGAACGAGUGAGUAAUAUAUCGGAACGUGCCCAGUCGUGGGGGAUAACGUAGCGAAAGCUACGCUAAUACCGCAUACGAUCUACGGAUGAAAGCAGGGGACCGCAAGGCCUUGCGCGGACGGAGCGGCCGAUGGCAGAUUAGGUAGUUGGUGGGAUAAAAGCUUACCAAGCCGACGAUCUGUAGCUGGUCUGAGAGGACGACCAGCCACACUGGGACUGAGACACGGCCCAGACUCCUACGGGAGGCAGCAGUGGGGAAUUUUGGACAAUGGGCGAAAGCCUGAUCCAGCCAUGCCGCGUGCAGGAUGAAGGCCUUCGGGUUGUAACUGCUUUUGUACGGACGAAAGACUCUUCUAAUAAGGAGUCAUGACGGUACCGUAAGAAUAAGCACCGGCUAACUACGUGCCAGCAGCCGAC
rnacentral:rRNA from 1 species